rnacentral:rRNA from 1 species
CAUGCAGUCGACGGUGAAGCCAAGCUUGCUUGGUGGAUCAGUGGCGAACGGGUGAGUAACACGUGAGCAACCUGCCCUGGACUCUGGGAUAAGCGCUGGAAACGGCGUCUAAUACUGGAUAUGAGCUCUCAUCGCAUGGUGGGGGUUGGAAAGAUUUUUCGGUCUGGGAUGGGCUCGCGGCCUAUCAGCUUGUUGGUGAGGUAAUGGCUCACCAAGGCGUCGACGGGUAGCCGGCCUGAGAGGGUGACCGGCCACACUGGGACUGAGACACGGCCCAGACUCCUACGGGAGGCAGCAGUGGGGAAUAUUGCACAAUGGGCGGAAGCCUGAUGCAGCAACGCCGCGUGAGGGAUGACGGCCUUCGGGUUGUAAACCUCUUUUAGCAGGGAAGAAGCGAGAGUGACGGUACCUGCAGAAAAAGCGCCGGCUAACUACGUGCCAGCAGCCGCGGUAAUACGUAGGGCGCAAGCGUUAUCCGGAAUUAUUGGGCGUAAAGAGCUCGUAGGCGGUUUGUCGCGUCUGCUGUGAAAUCCCGAGGCUCAACCUCGGGCCUGCAGUGGGUACGGGCAGACUAGAGUGCGGUAGGGGAGAUUGGAAUUCCUGGUGUAGCGGUGGAAUGCGCAGAUAUCAGGAGGAACACCGAUGGCGAAGGCAGAUCUCUGGGCCGUAACUGACGCUGAGGAGCGAAAGGGUGGGGAGCAAACAGGCUUAGAUACCCUGGUAGUCCACCCCGUAAACGUUGGGAACUAGUUGUGGGGACCAUU